GUGUUGUAUGAAAGGAAAAAAGGUUAGCACUCCCCUUGACAAGGAUGGAAGAGGCCCUCACACCUAACAACAUGCAUACAAUUAAGGCAUCGCCACCUAUUUUUUUUU
rnacentral:ncRNA from 1 species